rfam:Paenibacillus yonginensis strain DCY84 chromosome, complete genome.
UUAAAUCGAAUAUGCUUACCGUAGACAGUAGGUGCUGUAAAGCUUAAUUUCCUACCGAGGUGUUGUGAUAUAAGUUCGGAAUUUGCUUGGCAAAUGAUGAAUCAUCAGACCUUCGUAGUUCUACUGCGAAGGUCUUUUCAUAUCCCG